rnacentral:rRNA from 1 species
UUACGAAAGUUUUAUGGAGCAAUACAACGGGAACCAAGAAGGUCUUCUGAUUGUAAAGUUCUUUUAUUUAGGAAAAAAAGCGCGCUAGGAAAUGAGCGCGCCUUGAUGGUACUAAUUGAAUAAGUGACAGCUAACUAUGUGCCAGCAGCUGCGGUAAAACAUAGGUCACGAGCAUUAUCCGGAUUUAUUGGGCGUAAAGGAAGCGUAGGUGGAGAGGUUGAUCCAUUGUUAAAGGCAUUUGCUUAACAAAUGUGUGCGAUGGAGAUCGCCUCCCUAGAGUUAAUCAGGGGGUACUGGAAUUCAAUGUGUAGCGGUGGAAUGCGUAGAUAUAUUGAGGAACACCAGAGGCUAAGGCGAGUACCUAGGAUAUAACUGACACUGAGGCUUGAAAGCGUGGGGAGCAAAUGGGAUUAGAUACCCCAGUAGUCCACGCCGUAAACGAUGGGCAUUAGGUAUUUGACAUCUGGUCGAGUGCUGUAGCUAACGCGUUAAAUGCCCCGCCUGGGUAGUAUAUAUGCAAAUAUGAAACUCAAAGAAAUUGACGGGGACCUGAACAAGUGGUGGAGCAUGUUGCUUAAUUCGAUAAUACACGAAAAACCUUACCAACCCUUGCAAUCUAUGGGCAAA